AGGUAAAAACAAAGCUCAAAGGACAUCAUAAGAGAAUAACUACCCUUGCUUUUUGAAUUCUGUCAACGUGAUUAUAUCUGCAGGAGCAGAUUGUCAGAUCUCAACUCUUCAAUGGCAAAUCCAUGUGUUGCUGAGUGUCUUCUCUUUGUGUAGACACUUUAAAUCUCUCUGUCAAGAUUUCCUCAACAUUUUUGUUUGUUUGGGAUGCCUUGCCGAAAUAUUUCCUCAUGAUUUAAGAAUUUCAAAGCUCAAGAGACCAUCAGAAGGUUUCAGUGGAAACAACCUAAACUCUUAUCUUUCAAGAUCAAAAUUGAGAGAAGACUGGAGCAGUACUACUGAACUUCUUACUAAUCCUCAAUUUAAUGGGACACAACCAGUUGGCAAAUCUACCUCCAUCGGAAGUGCAGCUGGUCGAUAUAAUUAUUCUAAAAAUUACAAUCCAAUUAGCCAUCUAACAAGUCAACUGAUAUCAGAAAAGAGCAACAUCAAUGCCAAUUUAGAGAAAGAGCUGGGUAAUGAGUGCUUUAAGCAGAAAAAGUUCAAUGAAGCCAUUGAUUACUAUUCUAGAAGCAUUGCACUUUCACCAACUGCAGUCUCUUAUGGCAAUAGAGCGAUCACUUAUCUUAAAAUC